ACCGAUAGCGGACUAGUACCGUGAGGGAAAGGYGAAAAGWACCCCGGGAGGGGAGUGAAAUAGWWCCUGAAACCGYGCGCUUACAAUCCGUCAAAGCCGGUGCAUGACUUGUCAUGGCUGGUGAUGGCGUGCCUUUUGAAGAAUGAGCCUGCGAGUUAGUGSUMUGUGGCGAGGUUAACCCGUGUGGGGYAGCCGUAGCGAAAGCGAGUCYGAAUAGGGCGAUUCAGUCGCAKGGUCUAGACCCGAAGCGAAGUGAUCUAUCCAUGGCCAGGUUGAAGCGACGGUAAGACGUCGUGGAGGACCGAACCCACUUMRGUUGAAAACKGAGGGGAUGAGYUGUGGRUAGGGGUGAAAGGCCAAUCAAACUUCGUGAUAGCUGGUUCUCYCCGAAAUGCAUUUAGGUGCAGCGUUGCGUGUUUCUURCCGGAGGUAGAGCUACUGGAUGGCCGAUGGGGCCCAAAAGSUUACUGACGUCAGCCAAACUCCGAAUGCCGGUAAGUGAGAGCGCAGCAGUGAGACKGUGGGGGAUAAGSUUCRUMGUCGAGAGGGAAACAACCCAGACYACCAACUAAGGUCCCUAAGCGYGUGCUAAGUGGGAAAGGAUGUGGAGUYGCRMAGACAACCAGGAGGUUGGCUUAGAAGCAGCCACCCUUGAAAGAGUGCGUAAUAGCUCACUGGUCAAGUGAUUCCGCGCCGACAAUGUAACGGGGCUCAAGCACRCCACCGAAGUUGUGGCAUUGACAUUAAUGGUAGGCCUUCGUGGUCCAGCCGUGUUGAUGGGUAGGAGAGCGUCGUGUGGCGAGUGAAGCGGCGGUGUGAACCAGCCGUGGACGCCACACGAGUGAGAAUGCAGGCAUGAGUAGCGAAAGACGKGUGAGAAACMCGUCCUCCGRAAGACCAAGGGUUCCAGGGUCAAGCUAAUCUUCCCUGGGUAAGUCGGGACCUAAGGCGAGGCCGACAGGCGUAGUCGAUGGACAACGGGUUGAUAUUCCCGUACCGGCGAAGAACCGCCCAAGMYAAUCCAGUAGUGCUAAGUAUCUGAAUCCCUUUGAUGGAUCCCUUC
rnacentral:ncRNA from 1 species